rnacentral:rRNA from 1 species
UACGUAGGGUGCGAGCGUUAAUCGGAAUUACUGGGCGUAAAGCGUGCGCAGGCGGUUCGUUGUGUCGGCGGUGAAAGCCCCGGGCUCAACCUGGGAAUGGCCGUUGAAACUGGCGGGCUAGAGUGCGGGAGAGGAGAGUGGAAUUCCUGGUGUAGCGGUGAAAUGCGCAGAUAUCAGGAAGAACACCCGUGGCGAAGGCGGCUCUCUGGAACGCAACUGACGCUGAGACGCGAAAGCGUGGGGAGCAAACAGG